rnacentral:rRNA from 1 species
CCUACGGGUGGCAGCAGUGGGGAAUAUUGGACAAUGGGGGGAACCCUGAUCCAGCCAUGCCGCGUGUGUGAAGAAGGCCCUCGGGUUGUAAAGCACUUUCAGUGAGGAAGAACGCCUGGUGGUUAAUACCCAUCAGGAAAGACAUCACUCACAGAAGAAGCACCGGCUAACUCCGUGCCAGCAGCCGCGGUAAUACGGAGGGAGCGAGCGUUAAUCGGAAUUACUGGGCGUAAAGCGCGCGUAGGUGGCUUGAUAAGCCGGUUGUGAAAGCCCCGGGCUCAACCUGGGAACGGCAUCCGGAACUGUCAAGCUAGAGUGCAGGAGAGGAAGGUAGAAUUCCCGGUGUAGCGGUGAAAUGCGUAGAGAUCGGGAGGAAUACCAGUGGCGAAGGCGGCCUUCUGGACUGACACUGACACUGAGGUGCGAAAGCGUGGGUAGCAAACAGGAUUAGAUACCCUUGUAGUC